rnacentral:rRNA from 1 species
AAUAUUGGACAAUGGGGGGAACCCUGAUCCAGCGACGCCGCGUGAGUGAAGAAGUAAUUAGUUAUGUAAAGCUCUAUUAGCAGGGAAGAAGAAAGUGACGGUACCUGACUAAGAAGCUCCGGCUAACUACGUUGCAGCAGCCGCGGUAAUACGUAGGGGGCAAGCGUUAUCCGGAUGUACUGGGUGUAAAGUGAGCGUAGACGGUAAUGCAAGUCUGGAGUGAAAGGCGGGGGCCCAACCCCCUGACUGCUCUAGAAACUGCGAUACUGGAGUGCAGGAGAGGUAAGUGGAAUUCCUAGUGUAGCGGUGAAAUGCGUAGAUAUUAGGAGGAACACCAUUGGCGAAGGCGGCUUACUGGACUGUAACUGACGUUGAGGCUCGAAAGCGUGGGGAGCAAAC